rnacentral:rRNA from 1 species
GACGAACGCUGGCGGCGUGCCUAAUACAUGCAAGUCGAGCGAAGCGGCGGAUGGGUGAGUCACGCGUGGGUAACCUGCCCUUAAGUCUGGGAUACCAUUUGGAAACAGAUGCUAAUACCGGAUACUAAAGGAUGGACCUGCGAUGCAUUAGCUAGUUGGUAAGGUAACGUCUUACCAAGGCGACGAUGCGUAGCCGGGUUGAGAGAAUGAUCGGCCACAUUGGGACUGAGACACGGCCCAGACUCCUACGGGAGGCAGCAGUAGGGAAUUUUCGACAAUGGGCGAAAGUCUGAUGGAGCAAUGCCGCGGGAGUGAAGAAGGGUUUCGGAUCGUAAAGCUCUGUUGGUAGUGAAGCGGUAACCAAACAGAAAGCCACGGCUAAAUACGUGCCAGCAGCCGCGGUAAUAC